rnacentral:rRNA from 1 species
AUGUGCAACCCCGCCGGGAGCAAUGGACUCGUAAGUUGGAACUACCGUGGACUUGGGAAUGGCCCAGCAAUUCAAUCUCUUUUCGAACUGGGAAGAGCGGAGGAUCCCGACAUUUUGUUUCUGUGUGAGACUAGAAUGAAGGAGAAAGACUUGGGAAGGUUUAGGUGGCUGUUGGGGCUCGCCAACAUGAUUGCUUGGAAGGAUGAAGGUAGUGGUAGAUGGGUGGCCUUAUUCUGGAGGAGAGGAGUGGACGUUACUUUAAGCUCAUAUGGUAGGAGGCAUGUUGAUGUGGAUGUAACAAGGGAUUUGGAUCGAUCUAGAGACUAA